AAAUUGAUUAAAUAUAUACACAUAUUUCUGCCUGGAAAUUACGAACGCAAGUUUAAAACCCAAAGGACUUGGCGGUGCUUAGAAUCCACCUAGAGGAGCCUGUUCUGUAAUCGAUGAUCCCCGUUCAACCUCACCCUCUCUAGCUCAAUCAGCCUGUAUACCUCCGUCGCAAGCUUACCCUAGCAAAGGUUCAGUAGUAAGCAAUAACGAUUUACGUGCCCCCAACGUCAGGUCAAGGUGCAGCCCACGAGAGGGGAAGAAAUGGGCUACAUUCUCUGACACUCAGAGAACUUACGGAUGGCGUAUUGAAAAUAUAUGCCUGAAGGAGGAUUUAGCAGUAAGUAGGAAAUAGAGUGUCCC
rnacentral:rRNA from 1 species